rnacentral:rRNA from 1 species
AACGCGAAGAACCUUACCAGGUCUUGACAUCCCUCUGAAUACGGUAGAGAUAGCGUAGGCCUUCGGGACAGAGGAGACAGGUGGUGCAUGGUUGUCGUCAGCUCGUGUCGUGAGAUGUUGGGUUAAGUCCCGCAACGAGCGCAACCCUUGGAUUUAGUUGCCAGCAUGUAAUGAUGGGCACUCUAGAUCGACUGCCGGUGACAAACCGGAGGAAGGCGGGGAUGACGUCAAAUCAUCAUGCCCCUUAUGACCUGGGCUACACACGUACUACAAUGGCCGGUACAACGGGCAGCGAAACCGCGAGGUGGAGCGAAUCCUAUAAAAGCCGGUCUCAGUUCGGAUUGCAGGCUGCAACUCGCCUGCAUGAAGUCGGAAUUGCUAGUAAUCGCGGAUCAGCAUGCCGCGGUGAAUACGUUCCCGGGCCUUGUACACACCGCUCGUC